AAGAAAACAGCACUUUGGCGAGGAAAAUUAACGAGGAAAUAAAAUCCUCGUAAAAUUACGUCGACUUUACGAGGAAAUUACAAAGAAAGAAUAAAACGUCGUUAUUUCCUCGUAAAGUAACGAAGAAAACAUUUCCUCGUUAAAACAACGUAAUGUUACGUGGUUUUAACGAGGAAAUUCUCUUUCCUCGUUAAAACUACGUAAAGCUUGCUUCAUCUUUACGAGGAAAUGAGGAAAUAGCGUUUCCUCGUAAAAACAACGUAAAUUCGCGUCUUCUUUACGAGGAAAUGUUUUACGUGACUUUAACGAGGAAUACUAAAGCACGUUUUUUUUAGAAUGAUUGAGAUUAUAAGAAUUUGGUGUUUAGAAUGGAAAAAAAAAUAUUGAGGUUUGAGGUUUGGAAUGAAAAAUAACAAAUAUUGAGGUUUGAGGUUUGGAAUGAAGAGUAGAAGAUAAGAAAGAUGGUGUUUGUGGUUUGGGGUUUUAGAUUAUAGGCGUUUAGAAAGCAUACCUCGUUAAUUCCUCGUAGUUAACGAGGAAAUAACGACGAAAAAAAGAAAAAAUAAAAAUGCGGGCCUCGUUAAUUCCACGUAAGACAAAAUCGUCGUAAAGGCCUCGUAAGCUUACGUGGAAUUACCGAGGCCCGUCUUUUAUUUCCUCGUAAUUUCCUCGUGGGUUUACGAGGUUUUAACGGGAUAUUUUGUCUAAACCCCUAAACCCUAAACCCCCAAACCCCAUAUUUCUUCUAUUUUGUCUAAAUCCUAAACUCCAAACCCAUUAAUAAUUUUAUAAUUUUCAAAAGAUUAUAUUUUCAAAUCUUCAAAAGAUUAUAUUUUUGUUGCAAAAUAAAUAAUUUGAUUUUGUAUAAGUUUAUAUUAGAAAGAAGAGAUUGAUAUUAGAAGUUAAAGAAUUGUGGUUUUAAAUUUUGAGUUUUGAAAUGUUAAGAAGAUUAUAUUUUCAAAUCUUCAAAAGAUUAUAUUUUUGUUGUAAAAUAGAAAAUUUAAAUAAAUAAUUUGAUUUUGUAUAAGUUUAUAUUAGAAAGAAGAGAUUGAUAUUAGAAGUUAAAGAAUUGUGGUUUUAAAUUUUGAGUUUUGAAAUGUUAAGAAGAUAUUGAGGUUAAAAGGAAGAUUUGUUUGUAAUAUAUGAAGUAGAAUAUAAGAAAGAUAGGGUUUAGGGUUUGGGGUUUCUGAUUUUAGAGGUUUAGAAAUUUACCUUGUUAAAAACUCGUAAUUUACGAGGCAUUUACGAGGACCAGAAAGACGGGCCUCGCUUAUUCGUCGUUGGAUUUGGGACGGGCCUUGCAAUUUCCUCGUAAGUUUACGAGGAUUUUACGAGGAAAUAAAAGACGGGCCUCUUUAAUUCCUCGUAAAGCUACGAGGAAAUUGCGACGCCUUCGUAAGUUAUAUUAGAAGUUAAAGAAUUGUGGUUUAAAUUUUGAGUUUUGAAAUGUUAAGAAGAUUAUAUUUUCAAAUCUUCAAGAUUAUAUUUUUGUUGCAAAAUAGAAAAUUUAAAUAAAUAAUUUGAUUUUGUAUAAGUUUAUAUUAGAAAGAAGAGAUUGAUAUUAGAAGUUAAAGAAUUGUGGUUUUAAAUUUUGAGUUUUGAAAUGUUAAGAAGAUAUUGAGGUUAAAAGGAAGAUAUGUUUGUAAUAUAUGAAGUAGAAUAUAAGAAAGAUGGGGUUUAGGGUUUGGGGUUUCUGAUUUUAGAGGUUUAGAAAUUUACCUCGUUAAAAACUCGUAAUUUACGAGGCAUUUACGAGGACCAGAAACACGGGCCUCGCUUAUUCGUCGUUGGAUUUGGGACGGGCCUCGCAAUUUCCUCGUAAGUUUACGAGGAUUUUACGAGGAAAUAAAAGACGGGCCUCUUUAAUUCCUCGUAAAACUACGAGGAAAUUGCGACGCCUUCGUAAAUUAUAUAUACAACCCAAACCUCACACUCUCCAUUCGUCCCAACUUCCUCUCCAAUUCCUCCCCAUUUCCUCUCCAACUCCUCUCCCAUUCCUCUCUCUUUCGAAAUGGCGAGUCAUCGGGCACACAUGACGAGGAGGAUGUUACGAGGAGGAGCGAGGAAUUCUACGAGGCGAUGAACGAGCCUUAGUUUUUUUUUUCGGUUUAUGUAUUAUAAAAUCCAAAACUUAUUUAUAUAUAAAAUAUUUUGUUGCAUUUGAAU